rnacentral:rRNA from 1 species
AUUGAACGCUGGCGGCAUGCCUUACACAUGCAAGUCGAACGGCAGCACGGGAGCAAUCCUGGUGGCGAGUGGCGAACGGGUGAGUAAUAUAUCGGAACGUGCCCAGUCGUGGGGAUAACGUAGCGAAAGCUACGCUAAUACCGCAUACGAUCUAAGGAUGAAAGCGGGGGGAUCGCAAGACCUCGCGCGAUUGGAGCGGCCGAUAUCAGAUUAGCUAGUUGGUGAGGUAAAGGCUCACCAAGGCGACGAUCUGUAGCUGGUCUGAGAGGACGACCAGCCACACUGGGACUGAGACACGGCCCAGACUCCUACGGGAGGCAGCAGUGGGGAAUUUUGGGACAAUGGGCGCAAGCCUGAUCCAGCAAUGCCGCGUGCAGGAUGAAGG